ensembl:miRNA
AUCGAUCCCUAUCCCAGCUUCCUUCCAGCCUUUGAUGUUUUUCUACACACAUAGGCUAGAAAGAGGCUGGGGAUGGGGAAAGAU